rfam:Gossypium raimondii Chr01_contig_147, whole genome shotgun sequence.
UUGUAAAAAUAUCAUCCAUUUCUACUGUUAGAAACAAGCGUGGCUGACAAAAUAAUUAGACAGUUGCAUAUGAUGUGCCACGUGUACCUCAUUCUAAUGUACAAGGACUAGUUUUUAACGGUAAAAAUUGAUGAAAUUUUUAAUA